rnacentral:rRNA from 1 species
AGCGAACGCUGGCGGCAGGCCUAACACAUGCAAGUCGAACGAACUCUUCGGAGUUAGUGGCGGACGGGUGAGUAACACGUGGGAACGUGCCUUUUGGUUCGGAAUAACUCAGGGAAACUUGUGCUAAUACCGAAUGUGCCCUUCGGGGGAAAGAUUUAUCGCCAUUAGAGCGGCCCGCGUCUGAUUAGCUAGUUGGUGAGGUAACGGCUCACCAAGGCGACGAUCAGUAGCUGGUCUGAGAGGAUGACCAGCCACACUGGGACUGAGUCACGGCCCAGACUCCUACGGGAGGCAGCAGUGGGGAAUCUUGCGCAAUGGGCGAAAGCCUGACGCAGCCAUGCCGCGUGAAUGAUGAAGGUCUUAGGAUUGUAAAAUUCUUUCACCGGGGACGAUAAUGACGGUACCCGGAGAAGAAGCCCCGGCUAACUUCGUG